UGUCGUCUGCACGUCUGUCACGCGGCUGUAAUUCGGUGUUGGUGUGUAAUGGUGUUGGACUGAUUAGGAGGACCAAAAAAUAUAGAAGGCAUCACCUGUUUACAUCAAUAUGUACACACAAAUUUCAAUGCAGGGCAAUGAACCUGCCCAACUCGUCAAGGACUGCUGUUCAUAUUUCAGUUUUAUUCAAUCCCAAUCCCAGGUCAAAUUAUUUCACUACAUUUAUCGUCAUCACCCUUUCAUUAUCAUUACCUUACUGCAGAGCUAAAACUAUAUUUUUGUAUUUCUGAACAUCAUCUCAGAUUUACCCUUUCUAAACGAUCAACAGGCAAUGAUACCAGGCUCAGCUGAUCAGGCUCGGUUCCAUCUUUUGAGCUUAGUCGAUCGUUUUAUCUGUGAUCGGCAGGAAAUGCUUUUGUAGAAGAUUUUGCACUUGACUUCAUCCCCUAAUCUGUUUUCUAAGAUGACGUGGAAUCGAGUAAUCCUUGAGCGAAGAUCUUGUAGUUUGGCAGCCAUCCGCCUCAAUUAUAAGAAAUCCUUGCCGAUUUCUUUGGAGAAAAACCGAAGUUUGAGGUUCUGUCUUAUUAGUCCUAUUCAUGCAACCCUGCCCACUCCUCUACAAUUACUGCUAAAUUAUUCAAAAUGGUGGCCGCCUGUCGCGUCGUUACCUGUAGCUUUAGUGAUGUUCUCGGGUCUGUGGUCACAUUCUAGGCUUUUUGAUAUAUUUUCAGAUAUCUGCAGCUGACUGUUUUCCCGGAGUGCUCUUUGUCAAUAGAGAUGAAAUGGUCCAGUCCAAUGAAUGUGUGGUUCUAUCCAUGAAAAUGAAUCCAUUCCAUGAAUGUCUGACGAUGAAGAUAUAUCCAUCAUGGUCAGAAUGUUCCUACCUCAGAAGUGGAGAAGUGCUGGGAUUUGGUGAAAUCCUGUAAACCGGAAUACUCCACAAUCGAGAUUUCUUUCAGGUCUCUGGUCUUCAGUUCUGUCAGCCAGGUUAAUUUGAAGCUGUUUCCAUCCAAAUCAGAACAUUUCGACUUGCUGCAUGCCAAGUGCCUAAAUUGGGAAGCUUCUUGAACAUUUACAACAAGUUGAUGUUGCUUUAUAUCUAAUUUGUUUCAUAGGUUCUUUCCGCUGUUGGUUGAUGUUUGAAGUCAAAGCUGAAAUUGCUAACGGUGUUACAGUACCGUUGUGUACCGAGUUGCAGAUAUAUUAAUCUAAUGUGCUGAUGCUGUUGCCCAUCGUCUCCCCUGGUUUAAGGAGUACUUAUUGAACAAAAUCGAAAUUACGCCAGUGGUUAUUUUCCCAUUGUUUUUAUUUCUAGUAUACUCCUUCAGUGUGUUCUUUAUUUGUUACUAUGAAUGUGGUUUGAGUUUAAAAAGCUGUUAGUUUUG